UGGGGAAUUGUUCGCAAUGGGCGCAAGCCUGACGACGCAACGCCGCGUGGAGGACGAAGAUCUUCGGGUCGUAAACUCCUGUCGAGCGGGACGAACACCGCCCGGGUGAAUAGCUCGGGCGGCUGACGGUACCGUUAAAGGAAGCCCCGGCUAACUCCGUGCCAGCAGCCGCGGUAAUACGGGGGGGGCAAGCGUUGUUCGGAAUUACUGGGCGUAAAGAGCUCGUAGGCGGCCUGUUUAGUCGGACGUGAAAUCCCUCGGCUCAACCGAGGAACUGCGUCCGAUACUGGCAGGCUUGAAUCCGGGAGAGGGAUGCGGAAUUCCAGGUGUAGCGGUGAAAUGCGUAGAUAUCUGGAGGAACACCGGUGGCGAAGGCGGCAUCCUGGACCGGUAUUGACGCUGAGGAGCGAAAGCCAGGGUAGCAAACGGG
rnacentral:rRNA from 1 species